GACGAACGCUGGCGGCGCGCUUAACACAUGCAAGUCGAACGGAAAGGCCUGCUUUCCCUUGUGGAUUGCGGGUACUCGAGUGGCGAACGGGUGAGUAACACGUGAGUGAUCUGCCCCCAACUUGGGUGUAAGCCUGGGAAACUGGGUCUAAUUCCCGAUAGGACUGCAGGGUGGUGCCUGUGGUGGAAAACGAUUUUCUAGUGGUUGGGGAUGAGCUCGCGGCCUAUCAGCUUGUUGGUGGGGUAAUGGCCUACCAAGGCGGCGACGGGUAGCCGGCCUGAGAGGGUGGACGGCCACAUUGGGACUGAGAUACGGCCCAGACUCCUACGGGAGGCAGCAGUGGGGAAUAUUGCACAAUGGGCGGAAGCCUGAUGCAGCGACGCCGCGUGGGGGAUGACGGCCUUCGGGUUGUAAACUCCUUUCGACCGCGAGGAAGCCACCUGGUUGGAAGGGUGGUGACGGUAGUGGUAGAAGAAGCACCGGCUAACUACGUG
rnacentral:rRNA from 1 species